UACGUAGGGUGCGAGCGUUGUCCGGAAUUAUUGGGCGUAAAGAGCUCGUAGGCGGUUUGUCGCGUCUGCCGUGAAAGUCCGGGGCUCAACUCCGGAUCUGCGGUGGGUACGGGCAGACUAGAGUGAUGUAGGGGAGACUGGAAUUCCUGGUGUAGCGGUGAAAUGCGCAGAUAUCAGGAGGAACACCGAUGGCUAAGGCAGGUCUCUGGGCAUUAACUGACGCUGAGGAGCGAAAGCAUGGGGAGCGAACAGG
rnacentral:rRNA from 1 species